CGAGCCCAUGAACCUAUUCACGAUUUGCGCGGUUUAGACGGGAAGUUAUGUGAAUUCGGAUGGGAUACAGGGCAAAGAAGAGACUUUUUUUCCCUCGUCGAGGCUGUUCCAGAUACCAGCCCAGCCUGUUCAAAAUGGCGGACGCUCGCAAACGGAAAUGACAUAUAUUUUUGUGAAGUUCAAAAGGGGCCACGCUGAUGUCUGAGGCCUUUCAUCGACAUCACACAAUUCAGAAAGACGGCGCCGUCUGCGAAAGUUAAUGCAGAACUGAUACAGCAGCCCGCUGUCGAAGAAAUGGUGCUUCUGAGAGACUGAAAUGAAGAGGCAAAGGCAAACAUGAAGAGAUGAUCAUUUUACAUGGAGAUAUGCUGCGGUGAAACAGGACCAGUAUGGAGGACGUGGAAGCCCGUCUUUCCCAGCGCAGACACACAGGCUUUAGGCUUCAGGAGGCAUUAUCAGACCUGAGCAUCAUCAGGUCAGCACUUUUCCAUCAGGGCAUCAGAAACUCACAGUCUGUACCGUCGGCCAAUGAUGAGGAACUGACGAGGUCUGAGGUGACAUUUCACAGCUACAAGUGCAAACCACCAACAUUCAUCUUCACAUAAUGAGUCUGCAUUGUCUAGAUGCGUUUAGUAAAAGAUGACACAAUAUACAUAAACAAAUAGACAAACAAAGAGGAUCUAGUUUUUAUUUAAAUGCAGCUUAAUGUAUUCAAACACCAUAUAAAGGUCAUUGGUUUUAGUGCCAUUUAAAUUCAUGUGUUGAACUUAUUUCAUGUUGUUUUGUUUAAAAUAGGUAAAAACUAUGAUAACAAGUGAACAAUAAACUGUGAAGCAGAGAUGCCAAACCUAGGGUCUGUGAUGGUAUUUUUCCGAAAUGUACUUUAGUUUCCAUAAAUUAACAAAAUUUGAGGUUUUUCCACAGAAUUUCUUUCCCUCCUGAUCGUCUGCAUAAAAUGUUCCCAGCUUGUUCCGACCUCUAUUUUAAGUGCAAAACUUGUAAGGGCACAUUCUUUCAUUUAUUCUGCUCCUGUUUUCACAUCCAACCAUAUUGGAGAGGGGUUCAUUCUGCAAUGCAGGAGAUAAUAGGAAACCGUUUUAUUUUCUCCCUCUUACGUUUUUUUUUUUUUUUUUUUGAAUGACA